AAUGAACGCUGGCGGCGUGCUUAACACAUGCAAGUCGAACGGUAAGGCCCUCCGGGGUACACGAGUGGCGAACGGGUGAGUAACACGUGGGUGAUCUGCCCUGCACUUCGGGAUAAGCCUGGGAAACUGGGUCUAAUACCGGAUAGGACCACUGCCUGCAUGGGUGGUGGUGGAAAGCUUUUGCGGUGUGGGAUGGGCCCGCGGCCUAUCAGCUUGUUGGUGGGGUGAUGGCCUACCAAGGCGACGACGGGUAGCCGGCCUGAGAGGGUGACCGGCCACACUGGGACGGAGAUACGGCCCAGACUCCUACGGGAGGCAGCAGUGGGGAAUAUUGCACAAUGGGCGCAAGCCUGAUGCAGCGACGCCGCGUGAGGGAUGACGGCCUUCGGGUUGUAAACCUCUUUCAGCACCGACGAAGCGCAAGUGACGGUAGGUGCAGAAGAAGGACCGGCCAACUACGUGCCAGCAGCCGCAGUAA
rnacentral:rRNA from 1 species